UACGAAGGGGGCGAGCGUUGUCCGGAAUUAUUGGGCGUAAAGAGCUCGUAGGCGGUGUGUCGCGUCGGCCGUGAAAACCUGCAGCUUAACUGUGGGCUUGCGGUCGAUACGGGCAUCACUGGAGUUCGGCAGGGGAGACUGGAAUUCCUGGUGUAGCGGUGAAAUGCGCAGAUAUCAGGAGGAACACCGGUGGCGAAGGCGGUCUCUGGGCCGAUGACUGACGCUGAGGAGCGAAAGCGUGGGGAGCGAACAGG
rnacentral:rRNA from 1 species